rnacentral:lncRNA from 1 species
AUCCAAUAGCUUCUUCAAUAAAUGGCGAUGCUAACCAAGAUGUACAAGUGAAGGCUCACUCCUUCCUCACCCCAAACACACUUUGGUUGAGCCAAGGAGUUUUACAACAAUUCUAGUUAACCCUCAACAACCUACACUUGAAAGAUCACUCACCCAAUUAAGAACUAUUUUAUACAAAUGAGGCAACCUUCACCAAGGUUUUACCACUUCAAGUGAUAGGUUCACCUUCACCAAGGUUUUGCUCCUCCUAGAGAGUAACCUUCACUUGAGCAACCUCACAACCCAACUUCCCCAACCCCUUAUACAACCAACAAAGAAUCUUUCUACUCAAAAAUCUCACUUGUAAGCUUGUAUUUUGUGUUGGCAAAAGUCUCUUGUCUUCUUGUGCUUUGGGGUUUUUAUAGAAGGUGAGAAAUGGCUCCAAAAGGCUCUCCAACGGUCAAAUAUUAAAUGCUGUCAAAACUAGCCGUUGGCCUGUCGGACGUCCGAACCACCUGUCGAACGUCCGAACCCUGCGUCCAAACCACCUGUCGGACGUCCGAACCCUGCAUCCGAACGUUGACAGAGAGUCAUCAAAUCUUUGCGAAAUUUCUCGGACGUCCGAUGCGAUCGAUG